GAUAUGAUGAGUCAAAUAAACACAUCUCUUGCUGAACCAACACAUUAAUGGACGGGACGCGUUGUACUGACCGUCUAAGGAUAAACAGUUGGCCAGUUGUAGUAUUAUUCUAGCAGAUAAUUUUUACAAUGAGCUUGAACACAAACAGUAUUCAGCUUGGCGAGGAUUUAAUAGAUGCCGCUCGACAUGGACAAACGGAAAAGUUAAGGAGUUGUUUAAAAAGAGGAGCAAAUAUAAACUAUCAAAACUGGUUUGGUGAUACUGCACUGCACAUUGCUGCUUGGAACAGGUACAAAGAAACAGUAAAGUUGCUGAUUGACGCUGGCAUUGAUCUCAAUUUACAG